AAUCCAUGCAUCAGACAUUCCCUAAUUAACUCCUUAAAUCACUUACACGCUUCAUAUAACGUUUCAUCUUCAAAUUGCUGAAAGGAUGUAAUAUCAUUUCUCAACUU
rfam:Gossypium raimondii chromosome 13, whole genome shotgun sequence.